rnacentral:rRNA from 1 species
CAAUAGCGUAUAUUAAAGUUGUUGCGGUUAAAAAGCUCGUAGUUGGAUUUCUGCUGAGAACGACCGGUCCGCCCUUUGGGUGUGUAUCUGGCUCUUUCUUGGCAUCUUCUUGGUGAACGUUGCUGCACUUGACUGUGUGGAGCGCUACCCAGGACUUUUACUUUGAGGAAAUUAGAGUGUUUCAAGCAGGCAUACGCCUUGAAUACAUUAGCAUGGAAUAAUAAGAUAGGACCUCGGUUCUAUUUUGUUGGUUUCUAGAGCUGAGGUAAUGAUUAAUAGGGAUAGUUGGGGGCAUUCGUAUUUAACUGUCAGAGGUGAGAUUCUUGGAUUUGUUAAAGACGGACUACUGCGAAAGCAUUUGCCAAGGAUGUUUUCAUUG